rnacentral:rRNA from 1 species
AACGAACGCUGGCGGCAUGCCUAACACAUGCAAGUCGAACGAGACCUUCGGGUCUAUUGGCGCACGGGUGCGUAACGCGUGGGAACCUGCCCUUAGGUUCGGAAUAACUCCCCGAAAGGGGUGCUAAUACCGGAUAAUGUCUUCGGACCAAAGAUUUAUCGCCUUUGGAUGGGCCCGCGUUGGAUUAGCUAGUUGGUAGGGUAAAAGCCUACCAAGGCGACGAUCCAUAGCUGGUCUGAGAGGAUGAUCAGCCACACUGGGACUGAGACACGGCCCAGACUCCUACGGGAGGCAGCAGUGGGGAAUAUUGGACAAUGGGCGAAAGCCUGAUCCAGCAAUGCCGCGUGAGUGAUGAAGGACUUAGGGUUGUAAAGCUCUUUUACCCGGGAUGAUAAUGACAGUACCGGGAGAAUAAGCUCCGGCUAACUCCGUG